AUUGAACGCUGGCGGCAGGCCUAACACAUGCAAGUCGAACGGUAACAGGAAGCAGCUUGCUGCUUUGCUGACGAGUGGCGGACGGGUGAGUAAUGUCUGGGAAACUGCCCGAUGGAGGGGGAUAACUACUGGAAACGGUAGCUAAUACCGCAUAACGUCGCAAGACCAAAGAGGGGGAGCUUAUGGCCUCUUGCCAUCGGAUGCGCGCAGAUGGGUUUAGCUAGUAGGUGGGGUUACGGCUCACCUAGGCGACGAUCUCUAGCCGAUCUGAGUGGAGGACCGGCCGCCCGGGAGCUGAGCCGCCGUCCAGAGUACUGCGGGAGGCAGCAGUGGCGAAUAUUGGACAAUGGGGGCAAGCCUGGUGCAGCCAUGCCGCGUGUAUGAAAAAGGCCUUCGGGUUGUAAAGUACUUUCAGCGGGGAGGAAGGGAGUAAAGUUAAUACCUUUGCUCAUUGACGUUACCCGGAGAAGAAGCACCGGCUAACUCCGUG
rnacentral:rRNA from 1 species